rnacentral:rRNA from 1 species
UACGUAGGGUGCGAGCGUUGUCCGGAAUUAUUGGGCGUAAAGAGCUCGUAGGCGGUUUGUUGCGUCGGCUGUGAAAACCUGCGGCUUAACUGUGGGCUUGCAGUCGAUACGGGCAGACUUGAGUUCGGCAGGGGAGACUGGAAUUCCUGGUGUAGCGGUGAAAUGCGCAGAGUAUCAGGAGGAACACCGGUGGCGAAGGCGGGUCUCUGGGCCGAUACUGACGCUGAGGAGCGAAAGCGUGGGGAGCAAACAGG